UGUCGACGACUGUUCAUCCACAUCGGAGACAGCAAACUUGUGCCGGUAACCUCGCAGCGUAGAUCUGGAACGAGUUUGGAUAGACCUCCUAAGGUCUCACAGCUCAAGAUUAACAUCGUUAUUUACGCAUCGGAACCGCAUUCAUAGGCAUGCCUAUGUUUACAAACUUCACUUUGAGGAUAAAUUUAUCAAAGAUGAUAACAGAGUGCCUUUCUCAUGGCCUACAUUAUCCUCAGAAGUGGAAAUAGCAUGUCGAAAACCCACUUGUCAUGUCGAAAACCAACUGUCUCUGUUCGAACAGUGGGAGAUCAUACUUAUGCUGUACCACUGCAGAUAAAUGGAGAGUUGGUGACCUGGAAAAGAUAAAGGACCACAGAACACAGACCACACACACAAUAUUCAUCAUAUCGACUAACAAAAAUAAAAGUGAUGUUACUUAGUUUAACAUGCUCGAUGGUUUAACACGACAAUGUGACAUGAUAAUGUGAUUUCUUGGUGUUUUCAAGGAUUUAGUGACACUUUAUCUAUGUACUUU